GUUUUAUUCACAUAUUUACACCUGCAUUUAGAUGGAGGGAAUCCAGAUUCGACAGCACAGCCAUCUGAAGAGGGGCUUGUACCUCACAGCAGUGCAGCACUGGAUUCAAAGCAUCUCUCUCUGCCUGCCUUCAGCCAGCCCCAAACUCUCUCUGUGGCAUCAUGCCCAGUUGCCCUGGCAACCUCUCAAACCCCCAGUCUCUGUUCAUACUUCCAGGCAAGGGGAGAGGACAGUUCUCUUUCAUUGCCAAUGGCUCUCAAUAGCCCUGUAUUUCUUAAUGGCCCUAGCUUGGCCUGUUCGUUUUUGCGGAGGCUACUCCAGGAACUCCUCUGCAGCUUGUAUAUCCUAAAUAAUCAAAAUCUGUCCAUUUAUUAAUUUCUAGGGUUGGGGUAGUGGUCCCCCUCCAAAAGACCAGUCUAUCUAUCUAUCUAUCUAUCUAUCUAUCUAUCUAUCUAUCAUCUAUCUAUCUAUCUAUCUAUCUAUCACAGGGGUAAAAAGUCAGUGAACAACAUGCCCAACAAAUGAAGUUCAUCUCUGCAUUGCUCAGCAUCUCUGCUUCAAAGCUGCAAUAGACACAAUCAUUUUCAGAUGUUUUAGAUAGAUCCAGGAAUAGACUUGAGGAUAAAAUAUUCAUCUAAGCCUGUAUCAAAGGCACAACCUAGCUGCCUCGUAGAAUGUUCCCUUUUGAACCCAAAAAGUUGGGAUUUUCUGAGAAAGUGAGCUAUACUUAAAUAACAUUACAAGAGAGGCCAGGAUAAUGAGAUGAAGGUAAGGAACAACAUUGAAAACAUUCCCCCCAUGAAAUGUGUAUUACCAUGCUAUGCAUUUAUUCAUUAAGUCCCCCUAUGUUCAUUGGGGCUCACUUUCAGGUAAAUGUGAAUAGGAUUGCUCACUAAGGAUCCAUUUCUGUGUUUGAAACUGUAGAAUUGGAGUAUUGUCACAAAUAAGGUUUGAAGUAGUUUUCUUGCUGCACCAGAUCAAUUUGCAAUGUGAAUGUGAAACCCGUGUUGUUAACCAGAAAGCUCGUUCACAUGACUAGUGCCUCUCCCCUGUAGUUACUUCUGGAAUGCAGCAAUGAGACAUUAAUGUAACAGCUGAGCUUAAAGCUGAAUUUAAGUCUCACAUAUCAAAAAGCUCAAAAUCAUUUCCAUGUAGCAUCCGGAUACUGCAGAACAAGAAUGAACCUCAAGUUUGUAACAGUGGUCUCAGUUUAACAUUAGAAAGUGUUUUAAAAUUUCUUUAAUUUUUAUUUUUAAAAAAAAUGUUCUGUGACUUCUGGCUCCCAGAAUAUGACAUUUCACCUCUCAAGAGCCUGCCUGCUAAUGAGAAGUCACGGGCAUUCUCUCUGGUGUCUGGUUUGUAGAAGUGAUAGGGAGUAAAGGGAGCAGAAGAUCCUUCAGUUCAAUUCCUUGUCUCAUUACAUCACUUUUACCCUUCCAUGAGUACCCUUUUACCCUUCCAGGGCUUUUUCCUCAGUAACCUUUCAAACAGCCUGCCUUGCAGAUGACCAUCCCAUUGCUGCGCUCAGUAAAAGUGGGGGACGGAUCUGGCUGCAAAUUUAAUGCACAUAUUAAGGCACGCUGACUGCUCACACCAACAAAAAGCAUUGACUCCAUCCCUCUGGCAUUUAGAAGUUACCUAUCACACUGUUUCCAUUUAGAGGACUGCUCCUUUUAGCUCUCCUGUCUGUCAAUCAGGCUAGGGGAUGGGACUGUUCAAUUGCAUAGGAACUGCAGGCAGUUCUUUUUCACAGUUCCCAAGAAGGUACUUUAAGCAUCAAGGCAAAAUUGGCCAGCUUUUCCUCAUGCUUCUAAACAGGUGACAAUUGACCUUUCUGUAAAAAUAGAGCCAAAAGUGGUCUGUGAAAGCUGCUCUUGAAUGGUUAUAAAUAUGGCUGCAUGUGACACCUCGGCAGCUUAGAGUCCUAUUUUGUCUGUGCGUGCAUUUCUCAAAGAGGCUCUUUAUAGAAGUGCUAAUUUUUCAUGCCCCAAUUUCAGCUUUCAGCACUUUGUCAUUCAGUUCAAGGAUGACCUCCUGCCCAUCAGAUUCAGUCUGCAAAGAUAAUUUCACCAAGGGCGAACAAUCAUUAAAACGCUUAUUUAAAAGCUGAAAACAGCCUUUUGGCUUUCUGCCUUCCCUGUAUUGGGAAAAUGGAGAGCCAAUUAGCUGUUAAAGCCAUAAUAAGGUAUUUCAUUUUUGUGCAGUUUUGUCCUUGUGCAACAAAACUGGCCAUGACAGAUUGAUCUGGCUGAGCUACCACCAGUAUGGAUGAGUUGAUUUAAAAGAAGAUGAAGAGGAUAUGCCUAUUUAUCCUAGUUGAAUGGGUUUCUAUUUUUACCCCAUUUAUAAUAGAUUCCCAAUUUUCCUUAUAUUUAAUUUUAAAGUCUCAUUAUGCUGGGGACAUUGAUGUCGUUAGAAAGAGAUGUACAAGGCAUUGGACUCUACUAGACUUGAGAGGACAGGCCCUUGGCAUCAAAACAUCUCAUUUUAUUUAAUUGGAUUUCGGGAAACAUUUUGAAGCUGAAAUUCACAAGCAUGCUUCCGAUUCAGGUUGAGCCUGGGGAAAAGUUUCCAUGUUCCUUUGGGUGUCUGUCAUUCAGACAUGAAACAAGAGCCCCAGAGCGACCCUCUGCAUUUGACGGAUGAGUUGUCAUGCCAUUCCUGAUAGGUGAAGUGGCCUAUAACAGAAGCAAACAGAAAAGUAAAUGAAUGUAAACUUCCAAUCCAGGGAGACCACAGAACCUUCUGAUCCUGGAUACAUUAACCCAUUAGAGUGCGCGAUCUCUCUGUGGUGGAUCUUAACCCUCCUCCCACACUUACAUUGUCCUCUCUCUCCCAUAUCUGCCUUAUUCCUCCCAAUACUCCCUCCAGCUAUUUCCCCAAACCACAAAUUCUCCUGCUCUCCAGCUUUCUUCCGCUGUGUCGCCAGAGCCCUAGAAUGGUCUCCGUCACACGCUUAAAUUCUUCCGACCCUCCCAUUUCCCCCCUCAUUCCUCCACCCAGUUCUGCCUGCCCCUUCCCCAAUUUCUGCUUUCUCCCCCACCCUGCCACCAGAGGACUGCCACACGCAGAGACCCUGCAAUUCCCCCUUGUUCCCUGCAAUCAGCCUUCUCGCUAGAAAGUAGCCAGUAACAUACCAAACUUUUCAGAAGGAGCCAGUGGAAAUCCAGCUUAGUUACAGACCUAGAUGUAUACCAGUCUAAUAUAAUGAGUUGAAAAAAAUGUUUAAAACAACCUUUGUUAAAAAGUCUGAAGCCUUCCUUUUAGGAAUUCUAGGUGCCAAAUCCCAAAGGAGCAGAAAAGACUAUGUAUGUGACCACGGCUGCACGGUUGUUACUGGCCCAGAGAUGGAAAGAGGAUAAAGUCCCCACCAGAGAAGAAUGGCAGUUGAAGUUAAUGGACUAUGCUAAAAUGGCUAAAAUGACUGGAAGAGUCAGAAAUCAGGAAGACCAACAUUUUAAUAAGGAAUGGGGAAAUUUUAUAACUUAUCUUAAAGACCAUUGUAAAAAUCAUUAGUAGGAUCGGAAUAUCACUUGUAGUUUAAUGCUGAAUUCUGGACGCAAUGGAAGAGGUAAAGGAUUUGGAGUAUCAUAAAAGAUGCGGGAGGAAAUGAUUGAUAAUAGGACCCACAAAGGGGAG
rnacentral:lncRNA from 1 species